rnacentral:rRNA from 1 species
CAGUCGCCGCGGGAAAACGAAGGGUGCAAGCGUUACUCGGAAUUACUGGGCGUAAAGCGUGCGUAGGUGGUGGUUUAAGUCCGUUGUGAAAGCCCUGGGCUCAACCUGGGAAUUGCAGUGGAUACUGGGUCACUAGAGUGUGGUAGAGGAGAGUGGAAUUUCCGGUGUAGCAGUGAAAUGCGUAGAGAUCGGAAGGAACAUCUGUGGUGAAGGCGACUAUCUGGGCCAACACUGACACUGAGGCACGAAAGCGUGGGGAGCAAACAGGAUUAGAUACCCCAGUAGUCCCUGUCUCUUAUAC